GGCGGUGCGUCGGACGGCUAACCAAAGAAACCCGGUAGAGAACUCCCACCUACCUACCGCCGCCCCGACAGCGCACAUCAGCGAAUGCAUCAGCGCUGUGCCACCACAACUGGACAUGAAACGGCCCCCGGCGGGACUGCCAUCCCAACCCGAGGGCCUGAUCACGAGGAAGAAAUGAGCUUCCCU
rnacentral:ncRNA from 1 species